UUAGAAGAAAAAAAAUCUGUUUUCUUUGUGUUUGAGUCUCCACAGAACAUCUCCCUGGCAUCCUCCAUCUGGUGACAGUGUUCUUCAGGUCUCUGGGUGGGGUCUCCAUCUCCCAAGGCUAAUGUGGAAGGGUUCCUGCUCUUCUAGGAACCCCAAAGGGCUGUGAGCGGCACCGACUGUCCAGACACCUUCACUUGUGUAUUUCUUCCCCAUUCCCCACAUUUUUAUCAUAAGGCUGUAGGCCUCAAAGAUGCUGAAUAGUAGGAUUUUCAAGGUUCCAUAGCUAUCAGCAGCAAACUGAGUGCGUCGUGGAGUCCUUGUUACACUAAGGAGAGGUCACCAUGCAGGCGUCUGCCUUCAGGGAAGGGGCAGGGAGUGAAU
rnacentral:lncRNA from 1 species